AAACCCUAAAUUAAAUAACACACAUGCAUCGACACAUAUUCCGGGGUGCCUGACGAGAGUCGGGUCGGCAUAUGGGAUGCAUGGAGGCCUAAC
rnacentral:sRNA from 1 species